CGGGAAUAUAACUACAUGCCCUUUACAUUUUCCUCAUUGAAAGUUAUUUAAAUAUGCAUGACUGGAAGUCGUAAAAUCGGGGGACAAUUGACAGACACUGUAUCUGAGAGACCACGGUCCGUGACAGAGCGAGGGUCUGCCAAGUUUAAACUGUCACGUCAUUUGAAUUAUUCUCGCUGUUCAAUUUCUCCACCAUCCCAACUGGCUCAAUUCUCCUUUCCCCUUUGCUCAUCUUCGCUGAUUUAUACGUCAAAUUAGAUAUAUCAGAUCGAGCCUGACAAAGACAAAGCUCAAUAAGGAGAUGGCAUGGCGAAUUUUCCUUUUAUUCAAACUCUAAUUCAGCUGCAAAGGCGGUUUAUUGAUUAUGUGCUGUCAGUAAUCAAAUUAUUUAGAAAUGUCAGAAAGUGAAACUGUACCAAUACUGGACGAGCAGUGAUUUCUUGUAAACUUGAAUCACGGAAUUAAGAUAAAAAAUCUAUAGAAAAAAAUCACUCAAAAACAGGAUGGGCGGUGACACUACCCUCCAGGAGAACAUUGUAGCCGGGGCCUGCGUCCUAUUGGUGGUGGUGUUUAUCGUGUUUCUGUUAAUUGUGGCGCGGGCUAUCAUUGUUAAGUGGCCCAGACUGUCCCAGGAGGAGUUUUUGGAGGUGGAGCCCAUUGACCGACAGAUGGACGUGUGGUCAGUUCAGCAGUCUGAUUCCUGCGGCCCGACAGAGACCGAGGAGUUCAUCAAAUGAGGGAUUGACCAGUGUCGAGACAACUAUACACGUCUCUCUGCUUCCGUAAAAUCAAAAUAUUAAAUUAUUUUGCAAUGUUUCUGUAUAAUCCACAUACUGUCAAUAAAUAUCGGAUUUAA